GGGCCCGCACAAGCGGUGGAGCAUGUGGUUUAAUUCGAUGAUACGCGAGGAACCUUACCAGGGCUUAAAUGUAGUCUGACAGGGGUGGAAACACCCCUCCUUCGGGCAGAUUACAAGGUGCUGCAUGGUUGUCGUCAGCUCGUGCCGUGAGGUGUCAGGUUAAGUCCUAUAACGAGCGCAACCCCUGCCGUUAGUUGCCAGCAUGUAAUGAUGGGAACUCUAACGGGACUGCCGGUGCAAACCGCGAGGAAGGUGGGGAUGACGUCAAAUCAUCACGGCCCUUACGUCCUGGCUACACACGUGCUACAUUGGGCGAGACAAUGAGAUGCAAAUCUGUGAAGACUAGCU
rnacentral:rRNA from 1 species